rnacentral:rRNA from 1 species
CCUACGGAGGGCAGCAGUGGGGAAUAUUGGACAAUGGGCGAAAGCCUGAUCCAGCCAUGCCGCGUGUGUGAAGAAGGCCUUCGGGUUGUAAAGCACUUUCAGUGGGGAAGAAAGCCUUGGGGCUAAUACCCUCGAGGAAGGACAUCACCCACAGAAGAAGCACCGGCUAACUCCGUGCCAGCAGCCGCGGUAAUACGGAGGGUGCGAGCGUUAAUCGGAAUUACUGGGCGUAAAGCGCGCGUAGGCGGUCUGAUAAGCCGGUUGUGAAAGCCCCGGGCUCAACCUGGGAACGGCAUCCGGAACUGUCAGGCUAGAGUGCAGGAGAGGAAGGUAGAAUUACCGGUGUAGCGGUGAAAUGCGUAGAGAUCGGGAGGAAUACCAGUGGCGAAGGCGGCCUUCUGGACUGACACUGACGCUGAGGUGCGAAAGCGUGGGUAGCAAACAGGAUUAGAUACCCGAGUAGUC